GGGGUUAUAGCUCAGUGGUAGAGCACUUGCCUCAAAUGUAUGAGGCACUGGUUUUAAUCCUC
rfam:Ictidomys tridecemlineatus contig148244, whole genome shotgun sequence.